rnacentral:rRNA from 1 species
AUUGAACGCUGGCGGAAUGCUUUACACAUGCAAGUCGAACGGCAGCACGGACUUCGGUCUGGUGGCGAGUGGCGAACGGGUGAGUAACAUAUCGGAACGUAUCCAAUAAUGGGGGAUAACGAGUCGAAAGAUUCGCUAAUACCGCAUACGCCCUACGGGGGAAAGCUGGGGACCUUCGGGCCUGGCGUUAAUGGAGCGGCCGAUAUCUGAUUAGCUAGUUGGUGAGGUAAAGGCUCACCAAGGCGACGAUCAGUAGCUGGUCUUAGAGGACGACAGGCAACACUGGAACUGAGACACGGUCCAGACUCCGACGGGAGGCAGCAGUGGGGAAUUUUGGACAAUGGGCGCAAGCCUGAUCCAGCCAUUCCGCGUGAGUGAAGAAGGCCUUCGGGUUGUAAAGCUCUUUCGCAAGGGAAGAAAACUUAGCCACUAACAUUGGUUGAGGUUGACGGUACUGUAAGAAUAAGGAUCGGCUAACUCCGUGCCAGCCGCCGCCGUAA